UAACUACAGAGGCUUACCACCUCUUAUUUACC
rnacentral:tRNA from 1 species